GAUUUUUGUGCUAACGCUGGAAUGUGUGUCGUUUUGCAUGUGUUUUACUUAGAGUAUAUAAACACUUUUCUCACAUUUCACACUUAUCACUCUCACUCACUCUCAAACCCUCUCUAAAACCCUAAAACUCUCUGAAGCAUUCUCUGCAAGUUCUUCAAUCUUCAUCUUCUUCUUCACCAUGGACGCUCAACAACAAGAAGUCUUUAACUUCUCUCAACAAAUGGAAUCUAGUUCUACUGCUCAAACCUCAAACACUCAAACUCCAACGGUUACA
rnacentral:lncRNA from 1 species